rnacentral:rRNA from 1 species
UACGUAGGGAGCAAGCGUUGUUCGGAUUUACUGGGCGUAAAGGGCGCGUAGGCGGCAAAUUAAGUCCGCUGUGAAAUCUCCGAGCUUAACUCGGAACGGUCAGCUGAUACUGAUCUGCUAGAGUGCGGAAGGGGCAAUCGGAAUUCUUGGUGUAGCGGUGAAAUGCGUAGAUAUCAAGAGGAACACCUGAGGUGAAGACGGGUGGCUGGGCCGACACUGACGCUGAGUGCGCGAAAGCCAGGGGAGCAAACGGG